rnacentral:lncRNA from 1 species
CACGUGUGUCUGCUUAAACCGCGUCGCCACCGUCACGUGAUAAAUCGUUUCUCUUUCUUCUGCGGUUGAAGCUCUCGUUGGUAACUUUGCAAAAACACAAAAUAAAAAUUUCAUUAAGUGAAAAAGUAAAUUUUAGUAGAUUAUUUAUAAAAUCAACAUUUGCACAUUAUUAAAUUAUAUGAUUACAUCAUUUUAAAAUUUUAAAUAAAUAGCAAUAACAAUUUCAGUGAUAAAUAGUUAC